UAGGGUAACCUGCGGAGGGAUCAUUACACAAUAAAAUACGAAGGCCGUUCGCGGCUGGACUAUUUAUUACCCUUGUCUUUUGCGCACUUGUUGUUUCCUGGGCGGGUUCGCUCGCCACCAGGACCACAAUAUAAACCUUUUUUAUGCAGUUGCAAUCAGCGUCAGUAUAACAAAUGUAAAUCAUUUACAACUUUCAACAACGGAUCUCUUGGUUCUGGCAUCGAUGAAGAACGCAGCGAAAUGCGAUACGUAGUGUGAAUUGCAGAAUUCAGUGAAUCAUCGAAUCUUUGAACGCACAUUGCGCCCUUUGGUAUUCCAAAGGGCAUGCCUGUUCGAGCGUCAUUUGUACCCUCAAGCUUUGCUUGGUGUUGGGCGUUUUUGUCUUUGGCCCGCCAAAGACUCGCCUUAAAAUGAUUGGCAGCCGGCCUACUGGUUUCGCAGCGCAGCACAUUUUUGCGCUUGCAAUCAGCAAAAGAGGACGGCAAUCCAUCAAGACUCCUUCUCACGUUGACCUCGGAUCAGUAGAUCCCGCUGAACUUAAGCAUAUCAAUAAGCGGAGGAA
rnacentral:rRNA from 1 species